GGACCGCACCCCUUCUCGUCCUGGCUGCAUGGGCCCCGCUUUCCCCGGUCUCUGGAGACUCCGAGCCCGGCGGGUCCCACGCUCCACGCGAGCAGAAUUCCCGCAGGUCUCCCGCCCGGGUGGCCAGAGGCGGUGGCGGGGAUGGCGGGCUCCGGGAGGCGCUAGGGCUCUGAGAAGCGGCUUAGCCCCGCGCUCCUCCCUCCGCAGUGCCGCCGCCGGCGGGCCGGGAUUCCCGCGGGUCUCGGCGUCCGCGAGCUGCAGGCGGCGCGGGUCCCCGGCUCGGUUGCGGCGCGGUUGCUCACCUCGCCCGCCUCGCCUCCCACGGCUUCCAGCGGGUGCGGAGCUCUCCUCUGCGCGCCUCCCCGGCCCGUCUCGGUUUCCCUUCUUCGUCCUCUGGACCACCCAGUGCAACUCCGUCGACCUCCGCGGCCCUGAGAGAGCAUCCGGAGUGGGCAGGGGCGUACCCGCCCGACUUCACGCCGCUCAUGGGCUCUUCUCCAGGGUACCGUGGCCCAGGGAGUUCCUAGAAAACAGAAGGGACCCAGAAUCCUGACCUCGCCUUCUGUGGGACGGCAUGAGAUGUGGGGAUUGUGAGCUUGGAGAUCCAGCAUCUUUGUGAUCCGGGGAGAGUCCUUUGCCCUCUCUGGCCUGUUUCCUCCUGUGCAAAGGAAAGCAGUGGGCUUCACUGGUCCCCAGGAUUCCUUCACACUGAAUGCCCCACUGCGCCCCGCCACCCCUCAACUCUGAGCCCUGCAGCAUCUUCUCAUCUUGACCCGCUCCUGCCAUUUUUAGCCUCUGGGCAGAGACUCUGGCCAUGGUGCUGAAGGAGGCAUAGCUUCUACAGCAGCUUGGAGACGAGCAAGGUAGCCAUCUAAGGAUUUGCGAGGGCAGAGGAAACUACCUGAGUUGAGCACCUGCUAUGGACCAGUCUCUUUGCCAUUUCUGUUGCGUGCUUUGUCACCUUGACUGAUGGAAGUAUCCCCUUGGAGGAAGAGCUCUUCAGGGGGAAACUGAGUUUCAGGGGCCAUGGGUCCCAUACCUUCCAGGAAGCAGAAAGCUAUUCUCUUGACUUCAGAUUUCAAGUAGCCAUGGUUCCCAGAGAUGGUCCUGGGACAAUUAAGGGCAGCUGAGAAACCAGUGACAUGCAGAAAUGGUUGAUAAAGCUGUGAAGAAACGUCUGUUGGCAUUGGUUCUGAGCCUGCGGCCAGAGAUGAAUGAUUGAAACGCCAGGCUUGUUAAAGCGAGGGCGCGUUUGAUUUCUCUGCCCUGCACUGCAUGCGAUUUCGCUGGAGGGAAGUUAGCAAUCAGCUAAUUGACAUUGAAUUAACCAUGAAACUCAGCCCGUGCCUUCUCUCUGAAACGCUCUCCAGCAAGACUUUAUCAAGGCUUUGAAUUAUUGAUUAUUACUUAUAGCUCUGAUGGGGUGAUUUCCUUUUAUUUGUUUUCACGUUGGGUGUCCUUCAUAAGUGUCCCUGAGAGUGGGAGGCACCCAGACAACAGAGCUUCUUACUGGAGGAGCCCAGGGAGGAGGGUUCUGGACAGUCUACCCUGCCCCAGAGAAAUUUGUUAAACUGUGAAGCUUUUGCUUUUUUGUUGUUGUUGCUGUUAGUGUUGCGAAGCCUAGCCUAAGCCGACUAAUAGGGUUUCUGAGGGCUGGUGUCCUUUCUGAUGCCUUGUGAUGCCAAGCUUAGAGUGUGAAUGAGCUGUGCUCCCUACCCUUGCUGUCUGUA
ensembl:lncRNA